UUUCCGUAGGUGAACCUGCGGAAGGAUCAUUACCGAACGUCCGGGACCAGGACGCAAAACAUGCCAUGCGGAUUAGUUCGCGCCCGCAGGUACUUUCGUACUUGCUUGCUCUCUCUUCUCUCUCUCUCUCUCUUUCGUCGUUCAGGGAUGCUAGGCGGUUGACGCUCGUCGCCGCCGGGCCCCUGAAGGAUCACUCCUUUCUCGUGCCGUCAGUGGACAGGUUUUCGGAACGCAACGGCGCGGGCUCUUGGAGUGCGGGUGCUAUGGGCAUCGGGGCGGUAAAACGCUCGGGUGGACGUGGCGCGCGCACUGUCGGGGCUCGGACCGGGGCGGAUCGCGGAGGCAAGCCAUCUGGCGGGGGGGGGUGGUCUCAGACACAGCAGCAGAACCCCGUGAAACAAUAAAUCGUUAUGCGAUGUCGGGCGAGUUGCGUCUCGCCGAGCUCUUCGUGAGCUCGAAACAAAGCGCCACCCACAAACCACACUAAACUCUGAAUCUGAACUCAAAAGGAGGCGCAGCGCCCCGCGCGCGGCGCCUUCUCAACCUUUAACGUUGUAAAACUUUCAGCGACGGAUGUCUUGGCUCCCACAACGAUGAAGAACGCAGCGAAAUGCGAUACGUCUUGCGACUUGCAGAAUCCAGUGAAUCAUCAAAACUUUGAACGCAUCUUGCGCUUCCGGGAUAUGCCUGGGAGCAUGCUUGUCGGAGUGUCUGUUGACACAUCUCGCCCCCCCCUGCCUUUGGGCGGUUCGGAGGGCGGACUCUGCGUGUUCCGGAGCGCGAGCUCCGAGUGCACCGAACCUCGUGAACGCGAGACCUCUACUGCUGAUUGCACAGAGUUGUUGACGGCGUGUCUGCUUCGGCGGCGCGACUCUCUACUCGCCACGUGCUUUCGGCUAUAGUGGCGGUCGUAGUUCCGGUUGCGCGCUGCCCACCCUCGGGAGGGCGGCGCACUACCCCAACUUUCGUUCGGACCUCCGAUCAAGCAAGAGGACCCGCUGAAUUUAAG
rnacentral:rRNA from 1 species